rnacentral:lncRNA from 1 species
ACGAGCAAGCCAUAGCAUCACUCAUUACACAGAGCUGAGCUUUACUGCUCCCAGCACUACAGUCCUGGGCCUGACACCAGCCCAGGCAUCGGAGAACCAGGCACCCAGGAGAAAAUAGAGAAAUUAGGAUCCUAGUCACAAAGGUCACAGGGACUUUGGUGGCCCCUGGUCACAUGUGUGAAAUCUUGGCAAUGUGUAGG